GCUGCAAAGCUAAGCUGAGCUGAGCUGAGCUGGGCUGGGCUGGGCUGUUCCCGCCGGCACAUAUCCCCACGCCAACCCCGUACCCCACUCCCACGCACCCACUCCCUUCUCAUACAGUCAUAUGAAUACAUACAUAUAGAUACAUCUAUAUAUAUUCACAAAAUCAAAUUACGAAAAUCGGAGAGAUUGGGAUAAUCUUAUCCCGCGUUUUCCCCAAACAAAAAACCCUCAAUUUUCACUGUCUUCACUCUUUCUCGCAAUUGGGAGAUCGAAUUUGUCCUUUUUGCGUAUAGAUACGUGAUUCACGCACAUUAUUAUCAUGUAUAGAGAAAGAGGAGGAGCAGUCGGGAAGGGGGAAAGGGGACACGUGGCGAAUCUGAAGAGAAUCCAGGAAGCCCUAGAUAAGCAAGUGGACCGAUCUAAUUCCUCAUCAUCUACCGUCUUUGCGAGGGGAGGAAUCAACGGAAAAGAUCCCCGCUCUGUGUUCAAAUCGUCUACCCCGGAUAAUAUGGCGAAAUGCUCUGAUGUAUCUGAAGCAGACAGUGAGGAGUCAGAUGUAAGUGGGUCUGAUGGGGAUGACACUUGUUGGAUAUCAUGGUUUUGCAAUCUUCGUGGGAACGAGUUCUUCUGUGAGGUUGACGAUGAUUACAUCCAAGAUGACUUCAACCUCUGCGGUUUAAGCAGUCAAAUUCCUUAUUAUGACUAUGCACUCGAUCUAAUUCUAGAUGUUGAAUCCUCACUUGGUGAGUCAUUUACAGAAGAGCAGAAUGAAUUGAUUGAAUCUGCAGCCGAGAUGCUUUAUGGACUAAUUCAUGUCCGUUACAUAUUAACGUCUAAAGGAUUGGCCGCUAUGCCUGUCCUCCUAUGAUUGCCCUUUUAAAGCUAGAGAAGUACAAGAAUGCUGAGUUUGGGAGAUGCCCAAAAGUAUACUGUUGUGGACAGCCCUGCCUACCUGUUGGUGAAUCAGACAUUCCCCGCCUAAGCACUGUGAAAAUAUAUUGUCCCAAGUGUGAAGAUAUUUACACUCCUCGAUCCAGGUUCCAAGAGAGCAUUGAUGGAGCCUAUUUUGGAACGACAUUUCCCCACCUAUUUCUGAUGACUUAUGGACACAUCAAACCUCAAAAGUCUUCACAGAGCUAUACUCCUAGAGUGUUUGGUUUCAAGAUCCACAAGCCGUGAUUAUCAAGUCAUGAGAAGCCAUUCAGGUGUGAAGUUAACGUUAUUGCUUCUUGAAACUUCUUUUACCAGCCUAUAACAGUCAAAUUAUCUGCCAAGGCCCACAGGACAUUACUUUUAUAUAAAUGUGGUGAUAUUUUGAAUCUAGUUCAAUAAUGUCCUUGUUUGGUAGAGAUUUUAUGUGAAUGGUUUUUAUGGAAAGUGAUUUUCCGGAGAAUGUGUGGUUAAAAAUAAGAAAAUUUAUAGGUCCACGUGCAAAGUUAUUUUAUUGGAAGAAUUUAUGAUUAAAAAUGAGUUUUAGAAAUGGAAGCCAUCCAGGACGAGCAAUGCUCUAUUA